rnacentral:rRNA from 1 species
AACGAACGCUGGCGGCAUGCCUAACACAUGCAAGUCGAACGAGACCUUCGGGUCUAGUGGCGCACGGGUGCGUAACGCGUGGGAACCUGCCCUUAGGUUCGGAAUAACUCCCCGAAAGGGGUGCUAAUACCGGAUAAUGUCUUCGGACCAAAGAUUUAUCGCCUUUGGAUGGGCCCGCGUUGGAUUAGCUAGCUGGUAGGGUAAAAGCCUACCAAGGCGACGAUCCAUAGCUGGUCUGAGAGGAUGAUCAGCCACACUGGGACUGAGACACGGCCCAGACUCCUACGGGAGGCAGCAGUGGGGAAUAUUGGACAAUGGGCGAAAGCCUGAUCCAGCAAUGCCGCGUGAGUGAUGAAGGCCUUAGGGUUGUAAAGCUCUUUUACCCGGGAUGAUAAUGACAGUACCGGGAGAAUAAACUCCGGCUAACUCCGU